rnacentral:rRNA from 1 species
AUGCAAGUCGAACGAGGUAGCAAUACCUAGUGGCAGACGGGUGAGUAACGCGUGGUCAACCUACCGUUGAGUGGGGGAUAACUAGCCGAAAGGUUAGCUAAUACCGCAUACGUCUCCGAGGGGCAUCCCUUGGCGAUAAAAGGAGCAAUCCGCUCGAUGACGGGACCGCGUCCCAUUAGCUAGAUGGUGGGGUAACGGCCUACCAUGGCUCCGAUGGGUAGCUGGUUUGAGAGAGCGACCAGCCACACUGGGACUGAGAAACGGCCCAGACUCCUACGGGAGGCAGCAGUGAGGAAUUUUCCGCAAUGGGCGAAAGCCUGACGGAGCGACGCCGCGUGUGGGAAGAAGGCCUUCGGGUCGUAAACCACUGUCGAAGGGGAAGAUAAUGACGGUACCCUUGGAGGAAGCCCCGGCUAACUACGUGCCAGCAGCCGCGGUAAGACGUAGGGGGCAAGCGUUAUUCGGAAUCAUUGGGCGUAAAGCGCUCGUANGCGGAUCAGGUAGUCGGUGAAGAAA